rnacentral:rRNA from 1 species
GACGAACGCUGGCGGCGUGCCUAAUACAUGCAAGUCGAGCGAAGUUUUUCUGGUUCUUGCACUAGAAAAACUUAGCGGCGAACGGGUGAGUAACACGUAAAGAACCUGCCUCAUUGACAUAGACACCGAUUGGAAACGAUAACUAAUACCGGAUGACCGUAUUGCUCGCAUGGGGGAUGUUAAAAAGUUGGUUAUGCUAACACUAUGAGAUGGCUUUGCGGUGCAUUAGGUAGUUGGUGGGGUAAAGGCCCACCAAGGGGGCGAUGCGUGGCCGAACUGAGAGGGUGAUCGGCCACACGGGGACUGAGACACGGCCCAGACUCCUACGGGAGGCAGCAGUAGGGAAUCUGACGCAAUGGGCGAAAGCCUGACGGAGCAACGCCGAGUGAGUGAAGAAGGAUUUCGGUUCGUAAAGCUCUGUUGUUAGGGAAGAAUGGAUUUGUAGUAACUAUACGUGUAAGAGACGGUACCUAACAAGAAAGCAACGGCUAACUACGUG